NNGAGAAGAUUAGCAUGGGCCCUGCGCAAGGAUGAGACACAAGUUUAUGAAGCGUUCCAUAUUUUC
rnacentral:snRNA from 1 species